ensembl:lncRNA
UUUUUUUUUUUUUUUUUUUUUGUUUUUUUUUUUUUUUUUUUUUUUUUGUUCCUAUGGCCCAGGACCUUAUGGACCUCCUUCCCUGAAGCAUCAUAGAGAAAAUCAGCUUUGCAGAUUCUAUAAGCCUUUUUUUCAGACAUGUAAAGACUUAUCCUGUAAAUACAGCCCACUUGAUUUGUUUCAGGAUGCAUGAUCUAAUAGAACUCUAAAUGCUUCUUUUAUUGUGAAUUAUUUCCAACAUUAAAGCCCUAAAUCUGCACUAAAGAGUGCUUGAGAAUAUUCUGGAGCUGUUGAAUCAGGAGAUGCAUCAGGGACUGAGAUCAGAGAACUGACAUCAUGAAACCAUGCCCUAGUUCAGCUGAAGUCAUAGAUAAAAUAGUGCACAGUGACUUGCUUUAUCCGGAACAUAACAAAUUUCAGUAAUUUCCUUUGUUUAGAAAUGAUUUUUGUUAUUUAUCACUCUGACCGAAUCUCCCAGAAGACGUUUCUCUCUCAUCCCAGACAGAACUAGCAGGAUAAAUGCAUAUUGCUCUACACCUUUGAAGCAAAGAGAUCCCCCAGCAAUUACACAGUACCUCAGAACAGUGCUGGAGCAUCAGCAACUUGGCUACAAAUGUUGGUUUUAACAGUGAUUUAGAAAAGCAGAUUAGGCUCUCAGAGAUUUUUCUUUUUUAUAAUUUAGUAUUAAUCUUUUGUUCCUAACCUCUGUUUUCCUCUCAUAUGUGACUUCUCUUUAUGGCCCUCUGUAUAGGUGGGGGCUCCUCCCAGAGCUGAUGGAAACAAGUUUUGUUCUGUGCAGUCACUUGGCAAAGGAGAUGCAAUUGCAGUAUUGUAACUCCCUCUUGCCCUGCUGGGUCUUAUUCCUGGACACUGAAUUCAAGCUGAAAAUUCACAGCUUCUCUGUUUAUUAUGAGGAGAAGCAUUACCAUCUGUUUUAUGGAAUGCUAAACCACAUUUCAUACCACAUUUACUUGAUAUGCAAUUGCUGCUGCAUUUAUUACCCAUCCUCUUGUAGAGCAGAAACCAUUUUACUACCAGCUCAUUGUCUGAAAUGCUGAAAAGUACAAUUAUCACCCUGUGUCUGAACAAAAACCCAAGAUGCAGGUAUUUCCUGCAGAUAACAUUGAAAAGGCAAUGGUAUUAUUAAAAUCUCAAAAUACUCAAUCUUCCAAAUUUUACUCAAGUUCGAAGUGAUCUGGAUCAACAUGACUCUGUUCCUCAUAUUUUGUAUAGAUGGUGCAGCAUUUUGCAAUGAAGUUGUUUCUUAAACAAGCUCAGGGAAAAGGCCUUUAGUAAAAGGCAUGUCUUUCAUUCUGCCCUGAAAAUUAAAUUCUGUAUCUUUAGCAAUUGUACUUACAAGAUAUUUUUCUUUUGACAAUAAUGAAUUGAUGAAUUAAACUAUAGGAGAAUAUUCACAUUUUUCUUCCACAUCACACUGCUGGGGUCCAUGAAGAUCCAGAAAGGAGGACACAAUAUAUAUGCUUGAUUUUUCAUCUCCUCUCCCUCCACUUGUUUCAUGUCUGAAGGCUUCAUGAAAACAGGAGAAGGAAAUUGGUAGCAAUUUGCUUCCAUUGGAAGGAGCAAUAAUAUAAGAGCAGUUAUCCAAAUCUUAAUCAGACAAAAUACUUCAUAUAACUGAUGUGUUCACUGGGAUUUUUUUAUGUUGGAUAUCAUAAAAAAAUUCUUCAUGGAAAAAAUUGACAAACAUUGGAUCAGGCUGCCCAGGCUGCGUCAUCAUUCCUGGAGAUAUUUAAAAGACUUGUAGAUAUGUCACACAGGAACACGGUUUAAUAGUGGACUUGGCAGUAUUAGGUUUGUGGUUGGAUAAACUUGGAGGUCUUUUCCAGCCUAAGUGAUUCUGUGAAUCUGUAUCUCAGUUUUGGUUAUGUUCUUGAAGAGUAGCUCUCAGGGUCAGAAGAAUUGGGAAAUUUGGUCCCAUCUGUUAAGGGUAUGACUUACCUUCUCUUAAAAUGAGUCAGCUUCUGUGCUUCUUCAACUUUGUUUCACCAUAGCUGUUAGUAUGAAGUGGCUGCUGUUUUCAGUACAGAUGAAAAGGUCAAAUGCUGGGUGUUGCUCUUUUUUGAAAUAGUAACCUCUUAAUUCAGUGACAAAUUCAUGCAUAAUCAUCUAAUUCUUUUUUUCAAAGUCUUUGAGAUCUGGAGACAGCACCACAGUUAUCUAGACAACAGCUUUUGAACUAGAAUAUCUGCAAAAUAUUUUUAUCAAUGUUUUGAUCCUACAAAUACCAUUCUAUCCUGUGUUGUACACCAUUCUAUGCUGUAAAGCCAAUGAAAAGAUCUGGGGAAUAAGUUAGACUGAAUUUGUAAUUUUUUCCUUUCCAUGAAAUUCCAUAAACCUACAUGACCUAAUUGACCUGAGAGUAGAUAUUUUGGGACAUUGUACUUAUAAAGCAUAUUAGUAUAAAAGUGAGCAUAUUAUAAUAAGUCAAUUCCUUUUAAGCAUAUGCUCAAAUUUCUGCAUGUGCUUUACUGACUUGGUGCUACAGUGUGUUGAGCUACAAGUGUGGGACAGGUGACAAAAAGGGUUUGAAAUCACAUUUCAGUAGGUAGAAUACACAGCGUAAGUUAGAGGCAUAACUUUUCUCUGAAAUAAAAACCAAGACAAAUGGUUUCCAUGUUUCAAAGCUUUGCAUAAAUAGAAAUGCUAAACAAAAGAUAAGUUUAAACUUUAUGCCUUUUACUUCAAUCCGUUUCAAUCAGAAAAUCAUUGUCUGCAUAAUUUCCAGAGAAAAACAAUACAGACAUUAAAAUAUAUUUUAAAAAUAAACCAAAACUAGUGCUUUAUUGCUGAACAAAUAAUCAUAUACCAUAAGUUCAAACCAUACAUCAACUUGCUAAAGACAAGAGGUACAGAAUUUUUAUGUACAGUACUACAGAACAACUCAAACCCCUGCACUUCUUUACAGGGACUUAAACUGGAGUGGUAACCUAUUAUACCAGCGUGAAAUGGUUUAUUUCAUGAAUGGAAAAUAAAUUCAGAACCACUUGGUUUUCAUAGUUUCAAAGCAGUUGAUUUGCUGAAUAUAGAUGAACAGUUGUACUUUCUCCUAUUUUUCUUGUGUCCUCUUUCAUUUUUUUAUGUCUUUUGUUAGUCGUAUGUAUAAAAUGCUUUAGAUCAAAUCUCAUGAGGUAAAAUCCAAAACUCUGGGGAAAACUAAGAAAGAUUGAUUUGUUUGGUUUCUAAAACCAUAACCACAUUGCCAAGAGCCUCCAGCUGGCAGGACAGAAAAAUGUCUCUCCCGAUUGCAAAUUGCCAAUUCUAAAAUGGCACAGCAGCAGCUUUCCACCCUGACUACCUGCAGCUGGCCUGUUUUCCACCUGCUCUCUGCCAGGCUAAAUAAUAGCUGCCUCUUGCCAUCUCUUCCAUCCACCUCCCAAAAAUGCUCAUAAAGUUACAAAACACAGUAUAAAAUUGUGUAUUUGAGAUGAGCCUGUACUAUAGCUGCCGGGAUCACAAACAGGAGUGAGAUGAAAUACACAUCAUUCUCCAGACCAGCUGGUAUGGCUUUGGGGAGAAAGUCAGGCUUGCAGCUCAUAAAGCCUUCUAUGGGUCUAAAAAAAAUACAAUUACUGAUCUGGAGACUAAUUGUUCUUAGUUUAAUUUCGUUAGGUUAAUCAAUGAAAAAGCUUUACUGACAGCUAUGGGCCUGGAGAAAUCUUGGCAAAAGGAAACAAGAGCUUUCAAUCCCAGGGAAUGGAGAUAUUUGUGCAGAGGUAACCAAGGAGCAGGACAAGUUUUUAUGGGAUUUAAGUGGCCUGAAUGUUGCUGGAGUUGAAACAAAAACUAAGAAAACUGCUCUGUAAAUGUUAGAAAAAAAUUGGUGAGUCUGGUGGGGUGAGAUGUGGGUAAGGUACUGUGCAAAUUCUCUUAGUAACAAUGAAAGUAAACGCAAAAUUAAAAUAAAUGUGGGCCGAGAUGAUGCUCCAGACAACAGGAAGCAGCAGGCCUGGCACCUCCCUGCUGCAGGUGAGUGCAUGUUCAGGAGGCUACAGAGCUUCAGACUUACUGCAUUGCUUUUCUCCUGCUUUUGUGUUGUUCUGCAGCCUGGCAGAACUUCAGCACUGGCUGUGAAAGAGUAGCCCACCCUGCCCAGAGCACCUACUCCUUUGCUGUUUGUGCUGUGCUCCUGGAAAGAGGGAGAUUAACUGGAAGAGCAAGGAAAGGGGGGGAACUCACUCACCUAGCACUGAGGAGAUGGUGAGCUUGAUAAUUUAUGAACAAAACAGUCCCAGUGUUUGUUGUGGACAUCCAAACCUUACAAGAAAAACUUGGAAGAGCUCAGAAUAU